GCAUAUCAAUAAGCGGAGGAAAAGAAACUAACAAGGAUUCCCCUAGUAGCGGCGAGCGAAGCGGGAAGAGCUCAAAUUUAUAAUCUGGCACCUUCGGUGUCCGAGUUGUAAUCUCUAGAAAUGUUUUCCGCGUUGGACCGCACACAAGUCUGUUGGAAUACAGCGGCAUAGUGGUGAGACCCCCGUAUAUGGUGCGGACGCCCAGCGCUUUGUGAUACAUUUUCGAAGAGUCGAGUUGUUUGGGAAUGCAGCUCAAAUUGGGUGGUAAAUUCCAUCUAAAGCUAAAUAUUGGCGAGAGACCGAUAGCGAACAAGUACCGUGAGGGAAAGAUGAAAAGCACUUUGGAAAGAGAGUUAACAGUACGUGAAAUUGUUGGAAGGGAAACGCUUGAAGUCAGACUUGCUUGCCGAGCAAUCGGUUUGCAGGCCAGCAUCAGUUUUCCGGGAUGGAUAAUGGUAGAGAGAAGGUAGCAGUUUCGGCUGUGUUAUAGCUCUCUGCUGGAUACAACUUGGGGGACUGAGGAACGCAGUGUGCCUUUGGCGGGGGUUUCGACCUCUUCACACUUAGGAUGCU
rnacentral:rRNA from 1 species